rnacentral:rRNA from 1 species
GACGAAGGGGCUAGCGUUGUUCGGAAUUACUGGGCGUAAAGCGCGUGUAGGCGGUUGCCCAAGUCGGGUGUGAAAGCCUUGAGCUCAACUCAAGAAAUGCACUCGGUACUGGGUGACUAGAGGACCGGAGAGGAUAAUGGAAUUCCAGUGUAGUGUGAAAUACGUAGAGAUUGGGAAGAACACCAGUGGCGAAGGCGGCUAUCUGGACGGUUUCUGACGCUAAGACGCGAAAGCGUGGGGAG